AGAGUUUGAUCCUGGCUCAGAACGAACGCUGGCGGCAGGCCUAACACAUGCAAGUCGGACGGACCUUCGGGUCAGUGGCGAACGGGUGAGUAACGCGUGGGAAUCUGUCCUUGUGUGGGGGACAACCACUGGAAACGGUGGCUAAUACCGCAUACGCCCUGAGGGGGAAAGGCUACGGCCGCACGAGGAGGAGCCCGCGUCCGAUUAGGUAGUUGGUGUGGUAACGGCGCACCAAGCCGACGAUCGGUAGCUGGUCUGAGAGGACGAUCAGCCACACUGGGACUGAGACAAGGCCCAGACACCUACGGGUGGCUGC
rnacentral:rRNA from 1 species